ACUAUCAGUUUACUCAUUCUUUAUAUAAAGGUAAAAUUUAGAUAUAAAUAAAUAAUUUAAUGUAAGUUGAUAUAAAUUGAAUCUGCGACAGCCUUGAGGGAAACUGGGAUUAGAUACCCCAUUAUUCUUGGUCAUAAAUGAAUAAUGAUUUACCAGAGUACUAUGAAUCUUUAAUAAAAUUUAAAACUCAAAGGGCUUGGCGGUGUUUUAGACCUCUCAGGGGAACCUGUCUCAUAAUCGACAAUCCACGUUAAACCUAACCUCUAUUUGCAAUUCAGUUUGUAUACCGUCGUCGUCAGGUAACUUUUAAAAAAUAAGAAGUUGGCAACAAAAUUAAAUAAAUUUAAACGUCAGAUCAAGGUGCAGCCUACAUAGAGGUGAGGAUGGGUUACAAUUAAAAUUUAUAAUUACGAAUAGGGUAACGAAACAUUUACCCUAAUGAAGGAGGACUUGAAAGUAAAAUGGAUCUAUAUAAAUAACUUGAAUAAGGCUCUGAAACGUGCACACAUCGC
rnacentral:rRNA from 1 species